rnacentral:piRNA from 1 species
UGAAAAGCAUAUGCCAAGGGACAGACUAAA